rnacentral:rRNA from 1 species
AGAGUUUGAUCCUGGCUCAGGAUGAACGCUGGCGGCGUGCUUAACACAUGCAAGUCGAACGAUGAAGCCCAGCUUGCUGGGUGGAUUAGUGGCGAACGGGUGAGUAACACGUGAGUAACCUGCCCUUGACUCUGGGAUAAGCGCUGGAAACGGCGUCUAAUACCGGAUACGAGCUUCCACCGCAUGGUGAGUUGCUGGAAAGAAUUUCGGUCAAGGAUGGACUCGCGGCCUAUCAGGUAGUUGGUGAGGUAACGGCUCACCAAGCCGACGACGGGUAGCCGGCCUGAGAGGGUGACCGGCCACACUGGGACUGAGACACGGCCCAGACUCCUACGGGAGGCAGCAGUGGGGAAUAUUGCACAAUGGGCGCAAGCCUGAUGCAGCAACGCCGCGUGAGGGACGAAGGCCUUCGGGUCGUAAACCUCUUUUAGCAGGGAAGAAGCGAAAGUGACGGUACCUGCAGAAAAAGCACCGGCUAACUACGUG